rnacentral:rRNA from 1 species
UACAGAGGGUGCGAGCGUUGUCCGGAAUCACUGGGCGUAAAGGGCGCGUAGGUGGCGGGCCAAGUCCAUGGUGAAAGCUCGAUGCUCAACAUCGAGUCGGCCACGGAUACUGGUUCGCUCGAGCACUGUAGAGGCUAAUGGAACUCCGGGUGUAGCGGUGGAAUGCGUAGAGAUCCGGAAGAACACCGGUGGCGAAGGCGGUUAGCUGGGCAGUUGCUGACACUGAGGCGCGACAGCGUGGGGAGCAAACAGG